GAUUGGGCAGGUGUGGUGAUCCUGGAGCUCUGGGCUUCCAUACCUGUGUGGGACAGGGAAGCUCUCUUGGUCUCCAUGGCCCAAGUGAUGGCUGCGCGCUCAGUCCAGGAAGAGGGGGAGGCAAGCCCACCGUUCCCCACAUUGGCCUUCCAGGAAAGGCGGUGUUGCAUCCCACCUGCACUUCCUGUCUGAUCCUUGAGGGCCAACCGGUCCCUCCGCUCCUGGGGAAAGCGCCUUCUAGCACUGAAUCUUUUGGCUGCCACGGAUGUCAGGGAGCCAACGGGACUGGGUUUUGGCUGGGUGCAGGGGAGGUUGCGUCAGGGGUACCUAAGCGGUAGCGGCGUGGGGGUGGGGUGUACUUGGUCCAAAGCUCUGGGCUCCUCUGGCGGGCCUCCCUGAAUGUGGCCUGGACUCGCGCACUGGCCCUGUCUCGCAGGUUUGCAGGUGCGCUUGGCUUUUCCUCCGCUUUGUGGGGCAGGUCUCCAGUGGCCCCCGGGCGCACGCCUGGACAUCACUGUCCAUCUCGUCGUCGCCCCCUACGGCCUCAAAGACACACGCUCACUGCAUGUGCUCUUGGGGGACGUCAGUGCCACGUUUGGUCACACGGGCUCCAGCUCGGACUCGCCUCUGUCUGUCUUUGCCGGUGUCGCCGGAAGCUGCGUUGGGAUGCCGGAGCCCCCGGGCCUUGGAGAUGAAGGCAGGUCCCUGCUCCCCCCAGGAAGGACGGAGGCAGUGGGCUCAUGGGUCAGUGCGGUUGCAGACGACAGCACGCCUUGCGGCCCUGGGGAUCUUUCCGUGCCCCGGCGAGACCCUUUCCGCCUCACUGCAUAGUGACCUCAUUCCCGAUCAGCCGGUGGGAGCCAUCAUCGGAUCCCAAGAGGUGUCCGCGCAGCCCAGCCAGCACCCCGAAGGUCCUCCUUCACCGGGAACAGAAGCAGGAGACCGAUCAAGGAGGUCCUGACGACAGGACUCCUAUGGGUCCGACCCUGGGUCUCCCGCAGGCCCCUCUGGUAGUCCUCUUCCCACCCGCCGCCUCGGGCUGCGCCGCAGCCGCCGCCGCCGCAACCUCCAGCACCGCCGCCCCAGUCCCCGCAGCCGCCGCGUCGCCGCCAUUUUUUAAAGGGUCCGCAGCCUGACUCUGCUGAGUAAGGAGGGGUGGGGCGGGUGAGUCGGCCUCGCCAGUGCGCAUGCGCGAGGCCCCAGCCGCCGCUUUGGUCACAGUGACCGCCACCGUUGCUCGGGGAUGGGUCCCUGAGACUUGGCGAAGUAGGAGCCCUGUGUGAUCGUGCGUCAGAGUCGGGGCUCAGACCAGUCGUGGCCAGGGCAGUUACCAGGACGGUCUCCGGAGGCCGGGAUUCGCGGAGGGUCAACCAGGAGGAAGAAACGCCAGAAGGAAGAAACCUGAGACAGAUCGCCGGGGACGCAGCACGGGAUCCCAGCCUGAGGCGUGCGGGGACGGUGUGCGGGUCGGCCUUUCUUCUGGUCAGCCUCUCCCCGCGUCACUGCCUGGGUCGUGUGGCCGGAUGGCAGUCGGUUUCCCGGCGGUUCCGGUUUGGGGGUCUGUGAAGGCCUGCGCAACGCGGGCAUCUGCGUCGGAACCGCAGGGGUUUUCGUCCCCUCCCCAUCCGGAGCAGCCUCUUUGCUAGGCUAGAUCCAGACGACCGCUCCACAAGCAAGGACAACGGCCUCCCAGGCGCUCAUUGUUCAACCGCAGGAGGGUGCCCGCAGACCUUCAAGAAGAUGGUUCUCACGCCUCUCGCCCUCUCCCUCAUGGAGAAAUGGAGCCACAGCUCGACGCAGGGACGGAGAAGGAAGCCGGCAAGGGGAUGGGGCAAGCAUCUCUGUCACUCAAAAGCUGGCCUUCCUGACCGAGUCACCCGUCUGACACUCCUCCCCGGAUGCCCGUGGUGGUGGCAUGGCCCCGUAUCCUGCCUGGACUCUGGCCUCUGCUCUGUCCUCCCUCUUGCUGUGUCUGCCCCGUCUCUGCGAAGCCUGGCGGCUUCUUAGUCUGGCUCAACGUCUUCAACAAAGAAGACUUCCCAGUCCAUCAGGGAGAAACCCC